CGAAUGCUGACAUAAGUAACGAUAAAGCGGGUGAAAAGCCCGCUCGCCGGAAGACCAAGGGUUCCUGUCCAACGUUAAUCGGGGCAGGGUGAGUCGACCCCUAAGGCGAGGCCGAAAGGCGUAGUCGAUGGGAAACAGGUUAAUAUUCCUGUACUUGGUGUUACUGCGAAGGGGGGACGGAGAAGGCUAUGUUGGCCGGGCGACGGUUGUCCCGGUUUAAGCGUGUAGGCUGGUUUUCCAGGCAAAUCCGGAAAAUCAAGGCUGAGGCGUGAUGACGAGGCACUACGGUGCUGAAGCAACAAAUGCCCUGCUUCCAGGAAAAGCCUCUAAGCAUCAGGUAACAUUAAAUCGUACCCCAAACCGACACAGGUGGUCAGGUAGAGAAUACCAAGGCGCUUGAGAGAACUCGGGUGAAGGAACUAGGCAAAAUGGUGCCGUAACUUCGGGAGAAGGCACGCUGAUAUGUAGGUGAAGUCCCUCGCGGAUGGAGCUGAAAUCAGUCGAAGAUACCAGCUGGCUGCAACUGUUUAUUAAAAACACAGCACUGUGCAAACACGAAAGUGGACGUAUACGGUGUGACGCCUGCCCGGUGCCGGAAGGUUAAUUGAUGGGGUUAGCGGUAACGCGAAGCUCUUGAUCGAAGCCCCGGUAAACGGCGGCCGUAACUAUAACGGUCCUAAGGUAGCGAAAUUCCUUGUCGGGUAAGUUCCGACCUGCACGAAUGGCGUAAUGAUGGCCAGGCUGUCUCCACCCGAGACUCAGUGAAAUUGAACUCGCUGUGAAGAUGCAGUGUACCCGCGGCAAGACGGAAAGACCCCGUGAACCUUUACUAUAGCUUGACACUGAACAUUGAGCCUUGAUGUGUAGGAUAGGUGGGAGGCUUUGAAGUGUGGACGCCAGUCUGCAUGGAGCCGACCUUGAAAUACCACCCUUUAAUGUUUGAUGUUCUAACGUUGACCCGUAAUCCGGGUUGCGGACAGUGUCUGGUGGGUAGUUUGACUGGGGCGGUCUCCUCCUAAAGAGUAACGGAGGAGCACGAAGGUUGGCUAAUCCUGGUCGGACAUCAGGAGGUUAGUGCAAUGGCAUAAGCCAGCUUGACUGCGAGCGUGACGGCGCGAGCAGGUGCGAAAGCAGGUCAUAGUGAUCCGGUGGUUCUGAAUGGAAGGGCCAUCGCUCAACGGAUAAAAGGUACUCCGGGGAUAACAGGCUGAUACCGCCCAAGAGUUCAUAUCGACGGCGGUGUUUGGCACCUCGAUGUCGGCUCAUCACAUCCUGGGGCUGAAGUAGGUCCCAAGGGUAUGGCUGUUCGCCAUUUAAAGUGGUACGCGAGCUGGGUUUAGAACGUCGUGAGACAGUUCGGUCCCUAUCUGCCGUGGGCGCUGGAGAACUGAGGGGGGCUGCUCCUAGUACGAGAGGACCGGAGUGGACGCAUCACUGGUGUUCGGGUUGUCAUGCCAAUG
rnacentral:rRNA from 1 species